AGUCUACGGGAGGCAGCAGUGGGGAAUAUUGCACAAUGGGCGGAAGCCUGAUGCAGCGACGUCGCGUGAGGGAUGGAGGCCUUCGGGUUGUGAACCUCUUUCGCCAGUGAGGAAGGCCUUGCCUGUGUGGUGGGUUGACGGUAGCCGGGAUGAAGCGCCGGCUAACUACGUGCCAGCAGCCGCGGUAAUGACU
rnacentral:rRNA from 1 species